rnacentral:rRNA from 1 species
GCGCAGCAGGCGAGAAACUUCACAAUGUGCGAAAGCACGAUGAGGGAAUCCCAAGUGCUUGCUCGUAAGAGUAAGCUGUUUCUCUGUCUAAAACGCAGAGAGAGUAAGGGCUGGGUAAGACGGGUGCCAGCCGCCGCGGUAAUACCUGCAGCUCGAGUGGUGGCCGCUAUUGUUGGGCCUAAAACGUCCGUAGCCGGUUUAUUAAAUGCCUGGGUAAAUCGGACCGCUUAACGGUUCGAAUUCCGGGUAGACUGAUAAACUUGAGACCGGGAGAAGCUAGAGGUACUCCUGGGGUAGAGGUGAAAUUCUGUAAUCCUAGGGGGACCACCAGUGGCGAAGGCGUCUAGCUAGAACGGGUCUGACGGUGAGGGACGAAGCCCUGGGGCGCAAACGGGGAUUAGAUA